rnacentral:rRNA from 1 species
GUGGGGAAUCUUCCGCAAUGGACGAAAGUCUGACGGAGCGACGCCGCGUGAGUGAAGAAGGCCUUCGGGUCGUAAAGCUCUGUCAUCAGGGACGAACGGCCGGUGGAGUGGAAAGCCACCGGAUUGACGGUACCUGAGAAGGAAGCCACGGCUAACUACGUGCCAGCAGCCGCGGUAAUACGUAGGUGGCAAGCGUUGUCCGGAAUUAUUGGGCGUAAAGCGCGCGCAGGUGGGAUCUUAAGUCCAUUUUGGAAGUUCGGAGCUCAACUCCGUGAUGGGAUGGAAACUGGGAUUCUUGAGUACCGGAGAGGAAAGCGGAAUUCCCCGUGUAGCGGUGAAAUGCGUAGAUAUGGGGAGGAACACCAGUGGCGAAGGCGGCUUUCUGGACGGUGUCUGACACUGAGGCGCGAAAGCUAGGGGAGCGAACGGGAUUAGAAACCCCUGUAGUCC